rnacentral:rRNA from 1 species
AUGGCGGGUGCUGCACCACGCAAUGGUGAUUCGGCGGCCUCAGCGCUACUUCAGGCAACGACCACUCGGUGCCCUCGGGGCUGCUCCGACGCGACGACGAGUCUGACGGCCUUGGCGCUGCCCGUCCUGCCCGUCCCACCCCAGUGCGAUGGCAGCCCGCCGACCUUGGCGCUGCUUGCCCUUCGAACGUGCAGCCUAAAGAAAAAUUUAAGUUCCCCAGAAAUCCACUAUAAAGAAAUCACAGAGUAUUGGAGCAGAUGGAAACCCCCAAAUGAAGAUUACCUGAAGAUCAAGUGCUCUGUUUCAAGAAGCAAAAUUUAA